rnacentral:rRNA from 1 species
CACGUAGGGUGCGAGCGUUGUCCGGAAUUAUUGGGCGUAAAGAGCUCGUAGGUGGCGUGUCGCGUCUGCCGUGAAAGCCCAUGGCUUAACUGUGGGUCUGCGGUGGAUACGGGCAGGCGUGGAGGCUGGUAGGGGCAAGCGGAAUUCCUGGUGUGACGGUGAAAUGCGUUGAUAUCGGAAGGAACGCCGGUGGCGAAAGCGGCGUGCUGGACCUUUGCUGACGCUGAUGCGCGAAAGCCAGGGGAGCGAACGGG